GAACGCAAAAAAGCUAAAAAAAAAAAAAAGGAAAGCUGACCGCAGCUUUUGCUGACAGCCGCAGACGAACCCCACCCCCCUCGGCUUCGUCUUCUUCACGAGACCUGAAGCCGCGCCAUUUGAACACCAAAAAACGACCUCCCCAUCUAACCGCCUUCUUCUACACCCCAUAACAUCAACAGCAACCCCGACUCCUUGCGCUGAAAUCCGCCACACCCCAGCCCUCUUUCACUGAAACUCGUCGGAAGAUACGCAUACACGCAUAGAGAGUGACUGAACAGUGAGAGGAUUGAGGGAAAAACAGAGUGCGAAGGGACAGAGGUGGAUUCGGAUUCGUUGUCGUCACUAGUUGCCAUCGAGGUUCGGAGUCGUUGUUUCCAUUCGUGCCGAGCAAAUUCAGUCUAGCUUAGGUUCGAAAUUUAGUUGCCUUUUGUUCGAUUUUGUUGCUGCUGCGGUUGGUUGAGACGCGGAUGAGUCGAGGUUCAGGUUGCAGUUCGAGGUUUAAGUCCGUGACCCCUGUUUGAAUUUGCUGUUGCACGGUUCAUUUUGGAGUUGUCUCUUUGUAUUGAAUCAAAUAUUGAAGAAGGUUCCGUCUGAAAUUCUUUUAAAGAUCCAGGUACAUCCUACCAUCCUCGAGUUUAGUUGCACGGUUGCUGCUCUUCAUGAGACUUCAAGGUACAUCUUCCGCGUCCAUAGACCUCGGAGUCCCCCUCUAUCCCCUUAUGUUGAUUCUUCCCUUAUUUCUUUAGACAUUGAUGUAUAGAACAAUUAGAAAUUCUUAGAAGCUUGUGACUUAUGGUAUUCCGGGUCUUGGGAGAGUUGUGUAUAUUUCGGGAGUUGAUUAUUGUAUAUGCCAAGCGGCAUCUCAAAUGCUUAUUUAAAUUAUAGUUAUUGUUAGUUGUUAGC